GGGGAUGUUUAUUGGAUUCGACAGGCAUCAGUCCGGGGUACAGCUACAUUACGGAGGUAACGUCUCCGUCAGAAACGUUACUUAAAUUUAAUUGACAAAAACGAAAGUCAAACUUUAGCUUUCGCUGCUUAGUCAGCGGCUAAGAUCCGCCUAGUAUCGCCCAUGUACUAGUAGUGGGUCUCAAUGAAGUGGGAUACGUCCGGCGCUUCCACCUGGAGUUAAGGAAAGAGAAUAAUCAGGUUCGCAAACUAGAUCUGUUUGUUGCUUGUCAGCUAGGGCGCUCAAUCUAACAAGUCAACUAUUAGUGUAAACGCUGUAUUAGCGGGGUGUUUGGACAGGGGUUCGAUCCCCCUCAUCUCCAUAA
rfam:Aerococcus christensenii strain CCTG28831, complete genome.